rnacentral:rRNA from 1 species
GCGUUCCAUUAGCUUGUUGGUGAGGUAACGGCUCACCAAGGCUACGAUGGAUAGGGGAACUGAGAGGUUUAUCCCCCACACUGGAACUGAGACACGGUCCAGACUCCUACGGGAGGCAGCAGUGAGGAAUAUUGGUCAAUGGAGGCAACUCUGAACCAGCCAAGUCGCGUGAAGGAUGAAGGUCUUAUGGAUUGUAAACUUCUUUUGCAAGGGAAUAAAGUGGGGGACGUGUCCUCCUUUGCAUGUACCUUGCGAAUAAGGAUCGGCUAACUCCGUGCCAGCAGCCGCGGUAAUACGGAGGAUCCGAGCGUUAUCCGGAUUUAUUGGGUUUAAAGGGUGCGCAGGCGGGAUGUUAAGUCGGCGGUGAAAUUUUGCAGCUCAACUGUAAAAGUGCCUUCGAUACUGGCUUUCUUGAGUGUGGAUGAAGUAGGCGGAAUUUGUGGUGUAGCGGUGAAAUGCUUAGAUAUCACGAGGAACUCCGAUUGCGCAGGCAGCUUACUAAACCACUACUGACGCUCAUGCACGAAGGCGUGGGGAUCAAACAGGAUUAGAUACCCUGGUAGUCCACGCAGUAAACGAUGAUUACUAGUUGUUUGCGAUACAAUGUAAGCGACUGAGCGAAAGCGUUAA